rnacentral:rRNA from 1 species
GAUGAACGCUGGCGGCGUGCCUAAUACAUGCAAGUCGAGCGAACAGACGAGGAGCUUGCCCCUCUGACGUUAGCGGCGGACGGGUGAGUAACACGUGGAUAACCUACCUAUAAGACUGGGAUAACUUCGGGAAACCGGAGCUAAUACCGGAUAAUAUAUUGAACCGCAUGGUUCAAUAGUGAAAGACGGUUUUGCUGUCACUUAUAGAUGGACCCGCGCCGCAUUAGCUAGUUGGUAAGGUAACGGCUUACCAAGGCAACGAUGCGUAGCCGACCUGAGAGGGUGAUCGGCCACACUGGAACUGAGACACGGUCCAGACUCCUACGGGAGGCAGCAGUAGGGAAUCUUCCGCAAUGGGCGAAAGCCUGACGGAGCAACGCCGCGUGAGUGAUGAAGGUCUUCGGAUCGUAAAACUCUGUUAUUAGGGAAGAACAAAUGUGUAAGUAACUAUGCACGUCUUGACGGUACCUAAUCAGAAAGCCACGGCUAACUACGUG